CUUAAACUUCUUCUUAAAGGUGUCAUCACACAGGAUUCCCAGGCCUGAAUCUCAUCUCCCUGCCGUGACGCUGGCCUGAAGCGUACCAGCUCUUAGAAUUAUUACCCCGACAGUUGGGCAUGAACCUCUCCCAAGUGUUCCAUUCCAACUGCUGCUGGGACACCUCCCCCUAGAGCUUUCAUAAUUAGUUACUGAGUGGAUAGUCAUGAUGAGUGCCCAGUGCCAAUCUAACUUAUGCACAACCACCAAUGCAACCCAUGAAAAUUGCAUAUAACAAGGAAAAUAUCUUGAAGCUGGAAAGGAAUGGAGGGCCAAAUCUUCAGCUGGAGUAAAUAAGAAUAACACCUCUGAAGUCAAUGGAGCUAUUCCCAUCUACACCAACUGAGGCUUUAAAGUGCCAAAGCCUUUAAAGUCAUGUACCACUUCAUUAGUAGAAUCCCAGACUCUGAAGGCAGCUGGAUAGUUCACUAGAUAACUCUGCCAUUGCCCCUGAAAGAACAGAAUUGCAGGGGCUGAACUAAACUCAGACCCGCUGAGUUGGUCACAGUUCAUUACAGGAGACUGCAGCCUAAGGACCUGGUCUGGAGCAAGAGGAUUAUGAGAUUCCACCUUGACAAAGUGAGACCUAAAUAGGAGUGCUCUCCGGGAGGCGACAAAGAGGUCAGAGAUGUCGUUAACCAGGGAACUGUGACAUAUGUAAAGGAGAGGCCCCAGAGGAGGAAUUACCACAUACUGAUUCCAUAGAAGAGACUGAUGAAUUCAAACUAAAACUAUUAACGUUGCUCUUAACCUUUGUUUCUUCUGUGUUGUGUCUUCUUUUAAGAAAGAAAAAUGUCUGUCAAUUCAGGGCUGCCUUUUUUUUUUUUGAAAUGGUUCAAUCAGUGCUUAGUUAAAGAUGAGUCACAAAAAAUGGCCCUAUUUUCUAUUCUUAUUUUUGUAAAUAUAGCUGUUUUUGCACAAAUUAACUCUGGACCAAUUUAUAUUCUCCCAAACCAUAUUCCAUAUAUUAUGACACAUAUUUAUGAAGCUCCUGUAUAUACCCAAGCUAUUUUUUUUAAAUGUGACCGCUAAGAAAAUUAAUAAUUUGAGAGUGUUGACCAACACAGAGGAUUUCUCUGCUUUUACAGACUAACUAUUUCACAAAGGAUAAAAGAGCAUUUCUAAUUAUUAUUAGACGACAUAUAAUUAAUUAGAAUAAAAUAUGAUACAUA